rnacentral:rRNA from 1 species
UUACCAGACUCCUACGGGAGGCAGCAGUGGGGAAUAUUGCACAAUGGGCGAAAGCCUGAUGCAGCAACGCCGCGUGAAGGAAGAAGGGUUUCGGCUCGUAAACUUCUAUCAACAGGGACGAAAGAAAUGACGGUACCUGACUAAGAAGCCCCGGCUAACUACGUGCCAGCAGCCGCGGUAAUACGUAGGGGGCAAGCGUUAUCCGGAUUUACUGGGUGUAAAGGGAGCGUAGACGGCAGUGCAAGUCCGGAGUGAAAGCCCGGGGCUCAACCCUGGGACUGCUCUGGAAACUGUAAAGCUGGAGUGCGGGAGGGGCAGGCGGAAUUCCUGGUGUAGCGGUGAAAUGCGUAGAUAUCAGGAGGAACACCGGCGGCGAAGGCGGCCUGCUGGACCGUAACUGACGUUGAGGCUCGAAAGCGUGGGAAGCAAACAGGAUUAGAUACCCUAGUAAA